rnacentral:rRNA from 1 species
UACGUAGAGUGCAAGCGUUGUCCGGAAUUAUUGGGCGUAAAGAGCUCGUAGGCGGUUUGUCACGUCGGAUGUGAAAACCCGAGGCUUAACCUCGGGCCUGCAUUCGAUACGGGCUGACUAGAGUUCGGUAGGGGAGACUGGAAUUCCUGGUGUAGCGGUGAAAUGCGCAGAUAUCAGGAGGAACACCGGUGGCGAAGGCGGGUCUCUGGGCCGAUACUGACGCUGAGGAGCGAAAGCGUGGGGAGCGAACAGG